UGGUUAAUUUUUGUUUGGAUUGGUGACUUUAUCUUUCAAAAAGCCCCGCCAACUUUGCGUUGGCUCUACACGCAUAUCUAUAUAUAUUUACAUUAUGCAUCAAUAAGAAAAGAAAAAAAACAAUACUCGACGCUGAGAACACGUUGUGGCAACGGAAAUCCGGAGCGUCUCAAGUUCUCUCCGCGCUGCUUCCCGUUGUGGUGGCUCUGACCGCCGUCGCCGCCCUCUCCAAGCCGUCGACGUUCACUUGAUCUUGGAACAACCUUGCGAGAAACAACAACACAUACUUGAGAGAGAGUUUACAUUGAGAGAGUCUCCAUGGCAGGUAGCUAGAUAGCUUUUUCAAUGUUCGGUAACAGGUUAUAUGAUUUAGGCCCGUACUAACUGUUUACAAUAGUCUUCUUGGAUUUACCACAGGAUAUACAGCGGAAGAUCUUGGAGGCAGCAUUCUCCGGGCCGAUCACCUUGAGGGCACUUUUGCGCCUCUCAUUCUGCUUCCAACUUUGUCGAGAGGUAAUUAUCGACAAACUGAAAGGCCCUCAAGUUCUAAUACUUGAGGGCAAUGGCCAUCGCGUGCCCAGCUCUAGCUGGAAUUGGUUUGAAAGAAGGUUGCAGGCGAUGGCAUGCGGCCCUCAGAUGGAAGUACUCUUGGCGAAUGAGCCAACUGCAAAUCUGUUGCAGCCCACCAUCUUGCCGGUCGAUGCCACGUAUUAUUCGUACAGACAGAAGUGUUUCUAUCUAGGCAGCAAGGCCAGCACACAGCCCAGUACGUUGCAAAUCCGAGAUGCAUUAGAUUUUUUACGGGGCCGAACCGCCGUGUAUAACGGCGUGCUGCUUUUUCCCCGGUUAGCUGGAGCAGGAGCAAACACAUGGUGGGAUGUGUAGCUUUUGUGACCCAUUGGGAUGUGUAGACAUGGUGGGAUGUGUAGCUUUUGUGACCCAUUCUUUUUCGCAGACAUUUUUACUGAUUUCUAGAUAUUGUUCUUUUUCGCAUUCGAUUGAUUUCUA